ACUAACGGCCUUUACGCGACAUCCGAGCAGCGUGUCUAUCCCAAAGGCCUAGGAGCAUUUGCCCGGCUCGGUCAAAUCUAGCGCAAGUUUGAAGCCUGCGGCCUCGCAAUUUUAGCAGCUUCGUUCCAGGCCAGGACGCCCACCACCUCCAUGCUGAGUGGAGGGGGCCACAGCCCUGGCAUGCAGCCCUGCCCAGUAGCCCGGUGCCUGCCCCUGCCACGCAGGAGGCCCCCCGGCCUGCCAGCAGCCUCAGGCCUCCCCGCUGUGGUGUGCCCGACCCACCUGAUGGGCUGAGUGCCCGCAACCGACAGAAGAGGUUCGUGCUUUCUGGCGGGCGCUGGGAGAAGACGGACCUCACUUACAGGAUCCUUCGGUUCCCAUGGCAGCUGGUGCAGGAGCAGGUGCAGCAGAUGAUGGCAGAGGCCCUAAAGGUAUGGAGCGAUGUGACGCCACUCACCUUCACUGAGGUGCACGAGGGCCGUGCUGACAUCAUGAUCGACUUCGCCAGGUGAAUGGGCGGCCUGGGACCCCUCCGGGAAUAGCCUCACCUGCCAGCAGCCACUGACCCCGCCCCCACCCAUCUGUAGGUACUGGCAUGGGGACGACCUGCCGUUUGAUGGGCCUGGGGGCAUCCUGGCCCAUGCCUUCUUCCCUAAGACUCACCGAGAAGGG
rnacentral:sRNA from 1 species